UUCUCCCAAAAAUCUCAUCUCAACAAUGGCGGCAACAUCAACUCACACUAAUCUUCCUAUUAAACCCAUCCACGCAGUCUUCGAUUUCCAACAAAGGGUUUUUAGAAAAUCUUGAUUUCAGAAAGUAUGAGUUACCAAAAUCCAGGGGUUUUGGACUUCAACAGAAACUUUAUUGCUUCUGCUAUUAAAGAUAAUAACAAUGCGGUCUCGACCACUGAAUCUUCACCUUCGUGGGGCAGGUCUAGGACGUCAUACAGUUUCUGUAUCUGUUGGUGAUGAAAGUGGAAUGAGUAACUGAAUUGAGGGAGUAUUUUCUAGAAGCUAGGGGUUACAGUUUAAACAUAUACUUUAGUUCUUUUGACUAAAGCCUUUUGUCAAGUCUCAAUUCUUCUUCUUCAAGUUAGAGAGAGAAAUGACAUCACAUCAGGGUCCCGGUGAUUCUGCACCGCUCAUAUUGUUACUCUUGUUGGGUUUGUUGUGUUCAGAACUGAUGAACUUGUGCUGGUUAUGAAAUAUUGGUAAGACCGUUUUCUUUACAACUAGUAGUAUAAGAAACCAGAUUUAGUAAUGCAUGUGGAAAUAUUACCUGGUUGAUCCAUACCGAAUGCUCCUAAACCUGCCACCAGUUUACUAUGUCUAUGUUUCUUUAAUUUUCCAUAUGAUGAGAUGUGCUGUUAUACGAAAUUCGCAAACAUGUGAAAUCUGAAUGAGGCAUAUGAUUUAGAAAUUCAAUGAAGAUGUUUUAUGAUCUUUAGGUCCAUUUAAAAAGAAUCUGAAUAUUCAAUUAAGAUGUUCGACGAAAUGUCGCUGUAUAGCUGGUUAAGUUUUAAAUUGGGGUUAGGAUAUAAUGUCAUUAACUAUUUCUUAAACUCAUUUUGGUAAACAAAUCAAGUGCGUUAAUUACAUAUUCCAUGACCCUGAGCCUAUUUGAAGACUAAACGAUUCCUUUUACAAAAUCAUUACUGUAAUUCAAUGCAAAUUUUUAUAGAAGUAAAGCUCAAAUUUUGCGUAUUAAAGAGGUCACGUGCACAAUCUUCUAUAUCUGUUGUAGGUUCAGUAUAUUUAGGGCCCCGAAUCCCCAAGAGCAAGGAGAUUAUGCAAGUAGCUAACCAUGUUCUCCCAACUUUCGCAUAUCAGAUCACCAGAGCCCACAUGUUUCUUCAUUGCUUUCGUAGUAUUUGAUUUAUGCUUGGAAUGAUUAUAAUAUAGAUUGUCACAAUGUUGAUUUCUUUCUCCCAAAAUCUACAAUGUUGAUUUAUGCUUUCUUCAAUCGAAAUUUGCCGAUGUUUUCAACUAAAUUCUCUAAGAACCUUAGAAAUUCGGAAAGAUGACCAUGACUAGUUAAUUAUUGUUCUUAAGAAAUGUUGAGCUGCUCAAGGCUGUUUUAGAACAGUGCACCUCAUCUCACGAAACUCGAAUACAGUUUUAUUGAUUGCAUUAUGAUGGGCUAAUGUUGAUAGUCGUAAUACACAAGAAUAAAGUCAAUAAAUAUAAUAUAAGCUUAUAGAUCUUGAGAUAUCUCAUCCUGACACCUAAUCAGAAGAGGAAUUUUGUAGAAUUCCAUCGCGUAAGUAUCGUAAGCAGUACAGACCAGAUUUGAAAAUCAGUAAGUCCAAUAUCUUUAGCACGGUUUUGAAAUUGUUUUUGUGAGCUUUCUUUACCAGCAGGGUUCUGCGCUAACAUAAUGUUGUCUGAAUAGAUUACACCACGACCUGCAAUAUUACUGUCUGGCACUUCAGGUAUAAUGAAUUCAACAAUAAUCACUUUCCCAUCUUUAAGGUAAUGCAGCUUAACAAUUAUUCAAGAUUUUAAUACUGUGUUCGUCACUCCAAUCAUGAAGAAUCCAUUUCAUGAAAGUUGCUUCUGCAUUUGGACCACUGGCAAACAUGUCACCACUGAUUUGCUUGAUACCUGGGAAUGAUGGAGCGUCUACGAUUAUGUGUGGAGACUUGCUUCAAAAGGUGAGCUGCAUCCUAUCUGACUUCCUUGGCAUCGGCAUAUCAAUACUGAUGGGAUAACUGGAGAUUUCAGAUAAAUAUAUCAAUCCACGAACUCAACACCAGAUGUCUUCGGAAAUUCAUUGAAGAUGUUUAGAUUGAACUUUCCGGUCUAUUAGUUCCCAUUCUCAAGACAAACAUCACAGGAAAAUUUGGUUCUUGAUCUUCAAGAUAUUCUUCGUUGUUUUUGACAACAUUUGUAACAUUUCGUUCGAGUUUGAUCCUGAUUCCUGCCUGCGUUUCAGUUUCACUUGAUUGGGCCGAUUUUGCUAUUGUCUUUGAAGAUGCUACAUAAAUUAGCCCUGAGACUUUUGGUCAAUAAAUUUUACUGCCUCCGUUCCUAAAUAAUAGGCAGGUUUCAUGUGUAGUUUGUACAUGAAACCACUAUUAUUUAGGAGCGGAGGUAGUAGUGUAAAUUGAAUAAUUACCCGCAUUUUUGAUGGGCCUUCAUAAAUAUCCUUAUUACCCUAAAUUUUAGGGUCU